UUACUAAAAAAUAAGAAUACAAACCUCUACAAAUUGGAAGUAUAAGGAGUAGAAUUAUUAACCCUUAUUCUGAAUAACGACGUAUUGAAUUUUGUGAUCGUAGUUCAUUUGUAUUCCCAAUAACGCUAGCAAAAUCAAAGGUAGCUAGGAUUCGGUCGAAAAAAUGCGCAGCUAUUUGGAAUAAGGGUGAAUGUUCUCAUUCAAUUGCGGUUUAUUUAUGUCGCAUUUUUUCUGUGUAGCACUACUCCAACGCUGCACCGAAUACAUAGAUUCGUAUGUUGAUGUAUUAAAACAUUCUGCUUUGCCCUAGUGUAUGAAACAAAAACAAAACGUCCGGUGACUAAUAAUGAUAACCCCGUUAUCUCUAUAUUUUCGAGAAGAGCCACCAGUCCGAAACAAAAAAAAAAUCUCACCUGGGAAAUCGCGUCCGCUAGCAGAACCGGAGUCUCUGGAGCACUCUUCCUGGCACCGCCCCGUUGAUAUCCAGAACGGCUGAAGACGUACAGCGUUACCACUACGAUUGGAAAUAAAGUAUUAAGCACAUUCCGCACCGGAUGCCGCCGCUUCUCCUUCCAAGCUUUGAUAAGAAAUAUUUCUAUCAGGCUAGUUCCUUGCGUCAUUUGAAUCGAAGUUUUUUUUUCAGAUACAGUUUCACCACUUAACUUUUUAGGGCACGGCAGAACAUCAUCAAUUGUCACACUCUUUGGUAUAGAUUUUUUUUUUGCUAUGGUGAUAAAAAGCUCAUAAUAAAGACUA